rnacentral:lncRNA from 1 species
UCAGGGACUGGCUGGCGGCUUAGGCCUUUAACUGGGAGAAAAUUCCUGCAGGGACAGAUUCUUGGAGCUAGCUAGAAGCCAAGCCCUCCACACUCUGUUCUCCUGGCCCCUUAUCCACGUUCCUAUCUAGAAUCCAGUGCUGGUCUGUAAGUCUGCAAUUUAUUGCACCAAAGAAUGCAAGGAGCAACUGAGACGCCAUUUCUGAACAUGCACCAGAUGAAGGGAGCCAUGGGAGGCUUCGGGCUGGGUGACUUUUUAGUUUUUAGGUAGAAGUAAAGCAAUGUGUCAGAGAUAGGUGAUUUACUUGAAACAAGUCACCACUGCUUGGUGAGAGGCUCUUGAGAAGGUGGAGAGACAGAAGGGGUACACACUGCUCUUCCCAGGACUUGAGUUCAGUUCCCAGCACUCACUUUUGCUAGCUCGCCGGUCCUUAUAACUCCAGCUCCAAGGGAUGAGAGAGACUCUUUUUGGAUUCUGCUGGUACUGUGGUCACAUGCACAAACCCACACACAUAUGCAUAUGGCUUAAAAAAAAUACAAAUAAAAUCUUUUUUAAAAUUCUAAUAGAAUUUUUGUAUCAGGC